GUUAAACAUUAAUUAUCUCUUUGUCGAAAUACAAUGUUCUGUAUACCUUGCGUGGUUCUUAUUUGUUAAUAAGAUGUAGAUCAAGUUGCAGAGGAGAGGCGGAUAGGCCUUUAUACUACCAUUGAUCCGAUGAGAGAAGUUUUCAAAACAUCAUUUUGUUCUGCAUUGAACUUUUUCGUGGUUGUGACACAUAGCAUAUCGAAUUUUUGUGCAGCUUCAAAACAUAUAUGGUGGAGAAUAAUGCUGUAUCGUCAAUAUUGCAUUCCAUGAAGAAUCCGUUUUUUCUUAAAAAGGCGUAGUCAAUCUCCUUGUUUAGUAUUCUGCCUCAUAUCAUAUAGGCCUAUCUGCCAUGUCGAUGUGGAAAUUGUGUAUUUGCCACGGAGGAGCAUGCAUUACAUGCAUACAUACAUGUGGUCAGCAAUGAGUGCAGAAGACUACAAUGCCUAAGAUGUGCCGAGAGCUGAUGAAUUGGGAUUAACAUUGAUAUACCAAGUGUCCUCCAAGAUCAGGAUGAAGUGUAGUGUUAUGGAUAUACAUGACCAUGGCAGCAUACAGAACAUGCACAUCCAAGAACACAUUUAUACUGCUCGUUGCCUUGACAACCCUUCUGAUGUCAUUCACUAUCUUACAACUAAACCAAGGAAUAGCAAGCUCAAAUGUUU